GUUUUUAUUUUUUUAUUUUUAUACCAUACAUUUUAAAGAUAUUUUUUUACAGUGUGUCUGGAUGAUUUACCUGUUUCACUGUGAGGUCUUCAGCUUUAGCAUCUCUUCGUUUUCUACUGAUAUAACAGACAUUAAUCUUAAUGAUGAUGAUGAUGAUGAUGAUGAUGAAUCCUAAACAUGCCACUGUGAUCCCCAACCAAACAUGCCAACCAAGAUGCACUGAAAGAGGAAUAAUCUGAAGUAAGAUUAACUCUCUAAGCCACACAACUCUCUUGAACUCUUUAUACAAUAAAAUCUUCAGCAAUCACUAAAAAAUCUACUGAUUUCACUGAUCCAUAUUUAUUGUGAGCCUGACAGUAGAAGCGUCCACUGAAACCGUCCAGAGCCGACAGCUAAGGCAGAGUUGCCAGGUUUGCGUAACAAAAUCAGCCCAAUUGUUUUAUAAAACCUGCCCAAUCACAGCCAAAACUAGCCCAAUCGCGUUCUGGGGUGGGUGGGUCAACCCGCAGACAAAAAACAAACAAAAAACAACCCACAGCAAGAAUGUAAAAGUAGCUCAUUAAAAUAAUCAUAGAAACCGCCUUAAAUUAACUAUUAAAUUAAGGAUAAAGUUGUCUCUGAAAAUUGUAAUCACUUUUUUAUUGGUUAAAGUUAAUGGAGAAUAUCUUGUCUUUUUCCUGCUCGAGCCCUUAGGAUCAGCGCUUAUUUGAUUUACAGAUCAUUUGAAACUGAAAGAUGGAGUGGUCCCAGCGAUAAUGAUCCUGGAUUGAGUCGGAACCGCAGGUGCUGACCAUCCAUAGCUUGCAGACGAUCGCUACGCAAAAGCUGCGCGUGCUCGUCACUCUUUAGCUUCGCCCACGGCACGCCUCCAGGAGCUCGGCUGUUUUCGGAAAGACUCGGUACAGCAUAUCUUUUAUAAAUCUGAUAAAACUAAAGACUUUUUCAGAGAUAUGAAGAAUGAUAUACUACUCUAUAGGUACUCAAGAUUAACAUGAGAUUGGCCAAAACUGUGCGUGUUAUGUACCCUUUAA